GACGAACGCUGGCGGCGUGCUUAACACAUGCAAGUCGAACGGAAAGGCCUCUUUCGGGGGGUACUCGAGUGGCGAACGGGUGAGUAACACGUGAGUAACCUGCCCUUGACUUUGGGAUAACUUCAGGAAACUGGGGCUAAUACCGGAUAGGAGCUCCUGCUGCAUGGUGGGGGUUGGAAAGUUUCGGCGGUUGGGGAUGGACUCGCGGCUUAUCAGCUUGUUGGUGGGGUAGUGGCUUACCAAGGCUUUGACGGGUAGCCGGCCUGAGAGGGUGACCGGCCACAUUGGGACUGAGAUACGGCCCAGACUCCUACGGUAGGCAGCAGUGGGGAAUAUUGCACAAUGGGUGGAAGCCUGAUGCAGCAACGCCGUGUGCGGGAUGACGGCCUUCGGGUUGUAAACCGCUUUCGCUCAUGACGAAGCUUUGUGUGACGGUAGUGGGUAAAGAAGCACCGGCUAACUACGUG
rnacentral:rRNA from 1 species